rnacentral:lncRNA from 8 species
GUGGAAUCUGACGCCAAACCGGUGCUGCCUGGCAUUUUCCAAGAGGUCACAGCCAUGACUCCAUUGAGAGAUGGGAUGAGACUUCGGGCCCUGACGAUAUAUCGGAAGCGUCCCAGGAGAUAACAGACGAUUCUUCAACCUUAUCAGACGGCCCUGAUGAAUUGUUGGACAUCAGAUUUAGAAUAUGUUGACAAAGAAGGAGAGUUACCUGAAACUUCACAAGCUGUGAGAGGAAAAGCAUCUUCAAAGUCACUGCUGCCAGAGAAACAGUCACCUCAUGGCGAAAUAUUUUUAAUUGCACUAUUGGGCCCAAUCGAAGUGUCUAACCACAGAAACACAGGCUUGGUGGAUGAGUCUGGUGACAGCUUAGACGACGAGCCAUUGGUUAAGAUGAUCAGGAAGCCUCCAACAGACUGCCAGCUGAGCGAGAGAGAAACACUGCUGAAAUACACAGACCUGGCGGAUGUGCAAAUCUACAAUAGAGUGUUUGAGAUAUGCCCCCGGUAUGACCUGUCUAACAAGAAGGACAUCAUCAAGCAGACAGUGAAAGAGGGGAUUUCUUUACAACCCAGGGUUUUAAUCAAGCCAUAUUCAUAG